rnacentral:rRNA from 1 species
AACUUUCAACAAUGGAUCUCUUGGUUCUGGCAUCGAUGAAGAACGCAGCGAAAUGCGAUAAGUAAUGUGAAUUGCAGAAUUCCGUGAAUCAUCGAAUCUUUGAACGCACAUUGCGCCCCCUGGUAUUCCGGGGGGCAUGCCUGUUCGAGCGUCAUUGCAACCCCUCAAGUUCG